AUUACGUCAGCCUGGGACUGGCAACACGGAGUAAACGACCGCGCCGCCAGCCUGAGGGCUAUAAAAGGGGUGAUGCAACGCUCUCCAAGCCACAGUCGCACGCAGCCAGGCGCGCACUGCACAGCUCUCUUCUCUCGCCGCCGCCCGAGCGCACCCUUCAGCCCGCGCGCCGGCCGUGAGUCCUCGGUGCUCGCCCGCCGGCCAGACAAACAGCCCGCCCGACCCCGUCCCGACCCUGCCCGUCCUCCGGACCCUGGCCGCCCCGAGCGGAGCCUGGAGCAAAAUGAUGCUUCAACACCCAGGCCAGGUCUCUGCCUCGGAAGUGAGUGCUUCUGCCAUCGUCCCCUGCCUGUCCCCUCCUGGGUCACUGGUGUUUGAGGAUUUUGCUAACCUGACGCCCUUUGUCAAGGAAGAGCUGAGGUUUGCCAUCCAGAACAAGCACCUCUGCCACCGGAUGUCCUCUGCGCUGGAGUCAGUCACUGUCAGCGACAGACCCCUCGGGGUGUCCAUCACAAAAGCCGAGGUAGCCCCUGAAGAAGAUGAAAGGAAAAAGAGGCGACGAGAAAGAAAUAAGAUUGCAGCUGCAAAGUGCCGAAACAAGAAGAAGGAGAAGACGGAGUGCCUGCAGAAAGUGAGUGCCUUCUAGCCUUACCCUUCCUCUCGCUCACGCCUGUCCUCACCAGCUUCAUGUGGCUAUCAGAAGAAGAGUUAGAAAACCCCCUACUUGGUUAUAGUUUCCCAAGAAGGGCCUUGUAGCUGGUAGCAGAAAUGCCAGUUGCAGAAUGAGGAGGUGGCAAAGCAGUUAACACAAUGGAUGUGACUGUGGAUGUAUAAAAACAGGUGUGUGAAUUCGUCUGAUGCCUGACUCCCAGCAGCCUCGGCCGGUUCAUACAUGUCCAUCAGCUUCCAGGCUGCAGGACAUGCCAGCCCAGUUAAAGAGGCUUCACUUGACUGUUUUCCUGAGAAAAGGAAGCUGCCAGCUCUCAUUUGGCUCACUAUGAAAAGCCUUUAAUUAAUCUCUUCAAACAAGUUAUUUCCUUAAUCCACAAGCAGUGGUUACACUUGCUUUGCAUUCUUGUCUGGUUCCUAACUCUAGAGCCCUUCUCCCUGGCUUAGCCAGUAAGCUGAGCCCCUGGCUGCGUUCAGCCGGCCCGCCUGAGAGACACUAGGGGAAAUAGCUUUUGUGGGCAAGCAGGGUGGCCGGUGGUGCUCAGCAGUCUUUCCAGUGGCUGUGUCCCUCCUCCAAAUGUGGACAGGCCAUGACAGAGUCUUAGCCCAAGUCCCACAGAUCCCCAAAAGUUCUGUUGAUUGCUUCAGGGGAUCAGUGAAAAUUAGGGAAUUUUGUGUGUUGCCAUAUACAUUUUUUCUGGGGAGAUGAGCUUCUCAUUGAGAUCUGUGACUCAGAAUCGACUAAGCCACCAUAAGUCUGGAUUUCUCCCCAGCUCCUAAGGCCCUUUUGGGUCCAGAAGACCUGCAUAUGGGCUGUUGACUCAUGCAAAUGAGGUAUCUGAACUGCAGCUUCAGUAUUAGCAGAGUCACAGGCCGCCUCUGUGGCAUCACCAGGGUUUCUCUGAAGAAGAGGGUCUGCAUUUUCCUAAACCCAGUGCUGCUCUCCCAUCUCCCAUCUUCCUCUCGCAGCUUCAU
rnacentral:sRNA from 1 species